rnacentral:lncRNA from 1 species
UCACUGUCACGAAAUUAUUCGAGACCUCUUGAGGAAAUGAUUGCCAGAAGAUAUUCAGUGUCACUGUCACGAGGGCACCCUGGAGGCAGAACAGUGCCUUUCACUUCAGUGUCUAUUUCUGCAGGUAUUUGUUAGGUCACAUUGACCUAUUUUCAAUGAAAAGCAUGAACAAUAUUUUCGUUGUGACAUAGAAUUCCAUCAUGACACUUCAUAUUGGGUUUUAUAUACUGGUUAACCCUUGAAAAUAUUGCAGUUGAUAUUGAUAAUGUCAAGGUCACGUGUUCUCAAUAAUAAAACUCGUUCAAUGUAGUUACAAUUAAUUGAAAUGACGAAGACCUACUAUAAGGUCUAAAUGACUAGGCAAUCAAAUGCAAUUUUCCAUAAUCAUCCCCCAAAUGUUUUCACGUCGAAGGUCAGCAUUCAUGUUUGUUUGUUUGUUUGUUUUUGUUAAGUGUAUUCUAGAUUAUCUGGACAUAGCACUGAAAAACAUUAAAAUGACAAACCAAUUAAUUCCUAAGAUCGAUUGGUUGGCACGUCACUAGUUCAGCAAUUAUGAUUUUACAACCAGUUCUCAUCACCAGUUGUGGAUGGACGACGUCCUGAGGGUGGCGCUUUGAAGUGAUGAGGUUUUGAGUGACCUUCUAUGAAGAUUAAGGUCACUGGAUUGGUCUGUCUUAAGAGGUGAAGUUAUCAAACCAAGAGUGCUUACAUUGACAGCUUGAGGAACAGGACUAAUUUCUACUGCAUUUGGCAACAUGAGUAUGAAUCACUUGAUCCACCAAGACUUGAACGAGCUGUGGAGGACAAGUAGUUGGUACCUGACAAAGGCCACUGUGAUGGGCAUUACUUGCACCGGGUACCACCUGGAAAACUCGCAGUUGUGCCCCGAAUGAUUGUGCACCGUCCUCUAAUCACUCGAACGUGAUGCCACACUUACAACUACUGUGGGACUAGGUGGUUUCAAUAUCAUACUUGUGAGGCUGACUUUCAUUAACUAUAGUGUCACGCCAUUUUUCUGUAUCAAACCAUGUAUAAUAAAAGUAUGAAAAAUCCA